rnacentral:rRNA from 1 species
ACGCUCGACACCUACGUGAGGCAGCAGUGGGGAAUAUUGCACAAUGGGGGAAACCCUGAUGCAGCGACGCCGCGUGAGCGAAGAAGUAUUUCGGUAUGUAAAGCUCUAUCAGCAGGGAAGAAACUGACGGUACCUGACUAAGAAGCACCGGCUAAAUACGUGCCANNCGCGAGUAUGNGCGGCGNGNGAGAG